rnacentral:rRNA from 1 species
GACGGAGGAUGCAAGCGUUAUCCGGAAUGAUUGGGCGUAAAGCGUCCGCAGGUGGCAGUUCAAGUCUGCUGUCAAAGACCGGGGCUCAACCUCGGAAAGGCAGUGGAAACUGAACAGCUAGAGUAUGGUAGGGGCAAAGGGAAUUCCUGGUGUAGCGGUGAAAUGCGUAGAGAUCAGGAAGAACAUCGGUGGCGAAGGCAGGUGGCUACGCUUCGUCUGACACUGAGGCACGAAAGCGUGGGGAGCGAACAGG